UUGACACUAUCGAAGCCAGCUAGGUGAAGCAAAGCGUACUGAAGCAUGCACCCGUGACCCGCGGACAAAACAAAGCGAUCCCGGUUGAACCACUUAGGAUUUUUCGGGUUGUACUUCAUGACCUCGUCGUAGAGCACGUGACCCAUUGGGGCGCAUCCCAUGGGGAGACCCGGGUGGCCGGAAUUCGCCUUCUCGACGGCGUCGAUGGCGAGGAAGCGGAUCGUGUUGACGGACUUUUCUACCAGCGUGACGUCCGAGGUGGCCUUCUCGACGGUCUUAACAGGAACGGAGGCACGCACAUGGGCGGCGCGGCGGCGGAGGGAGAGGGGGGCCGUGGAAGGGGAGGGGCGGAGUGACGGGGAGACGCGGAGAGAGGGCUGGUGGGAGGAGGUGAGAGGGGUGGGGCGGAGGAGAGCUUGGGAGAGCGAGAGAGAAGAAGAGGAAGCCAUGGUUUUCACUGAAAGAGAAUGGCUGGUAGGAGGAGACAAGGGAGUUUUCUGAUGUUUACGAAUCUGUUUAUAAAGUUGCUUCCUUUCACCUACCCCUUUUUGUU
rnacentral:lncRNA from 1 species